rnacentral:lncRNA from 1 species
AUCUGAUGACUCAUCAGUCACCGUGGGCGUCUCCGGAUGGAACCCUGAACAUUUAUUCAGAGGGUGCUUUUGCCAGUUUCUGAACGACUCCUAGUAAGUCCUGCCUUUUGGGGAUUGUUUUAACCCCAUGGAGAUUGGGGGUUUGAAGACUCAGUGGGUUCCUGUCUGAAGGCCUCUGGGGGCUUAAAAAGUCCAGUGGGGCUUUGGGGAACUGGCUCCAGGUAAGCCUGUGAACGCAGAGGAAUGCAUUCUCAAACUGAGGGCUUGAGUGGUCUCUCCUUGGUCAUCUGUCCAUCUAAGUACCUGGCUGGCCCCAGAUUGCCCCUGGAAGUGGGGCUUGGGAGAUGUUAGCUCCUUUCAGGAGCUGCAGGGCUCCUCCCAUGUAUUUUCUGUGGGGCAUCAAAGACCCAGGGCUGGCUUUGGAGCUGGGUUUAAUGUAGGCUGCUCUGCUCACCAACUCCACCAUCCUGGGCAAGUCCCUUCUGCUCUCUGGGUUUCCGUUUCCUCCUCUGUGCAAUGCAGUCAAUACCAUUGUGGCCGUCUGGUUCUGAGGGUUGGAGGAGGUGCCGUCUGUAACAACUGUUAUUACUGUGCAGCCCAGGGGCCCCAUCACUUCGGUUUUCUCAGAAGCAGCUUCUGAGACGCGGAUUCGUGUGGAAGCAAUUUAUUAAGGAAGUGCUCCCAAGAAACACGGAAGGGUAUGGAAGGGCAGGACCAAGAAGGGGAGGAAGCCAGUUUCAGACAAAGUCCCUCUGCAGAAGGGUCUUAGUCCAUCCAGGCUGCUGUAACACGGUACCACACGCGGGGGGGCUGAUAAACCACAGACACGUACUUCUCAUGGUUCUGGAGGCUGAGAGGCCGAGAUCAGGGUACCAGCACGGUCGGGUUUGGGGGAGGGCCCUCUUCUGGGCUGUAGAUUGCCAACUUUUCCUUGUGCCCUCACAUGGCAGAGACAGGGAGAGAGAGCUCUCUGGGGUCGCUUUUUAUAAGGGCACUGACCCCCUUCAUGAGGGCUCCAUCCUCAUGACCUCAUGACCUCCCAAAGGAGGAGCUCUGGAGGGCAAGUGUCAACUCAGAGCCUGUCCUGACUCCAGGCAAGAGCACUGUACCUGCAUGCUCCCUUGCACCAGCUAGGAGCUACCGUGAGUGUGGGGAUUGAAACUCCUGGGUACUUCUGGCUCUGAGGGGGAUGUGCCCCGGGCGGGCCUGCAAAGAGUCCCAGGCACAGGCUGUGGGAAUUAGGAGAGGGGAAGCUAUAUGGGGUGGGGGAAGGAGCCCGAGGGGAUGUGGGUGAAGCAUCUAGAGUGUCCCCACCACCCCUUUGCUUAUCUGUCCUCCCACCAGAGGGGGCCAGGCCAGCACCCCUGUAUGGAUGGGACUGGGGCCGGGGAAGGAGGCUGGAGUCAGGAGGAGAGGCACCACCCAGGCCUUACUCUUCAUAUGGGUGGAACCAUCCCAUGAACAAGUGGGAUGAGGAAGCCUGAGGAGCUUUUGGCCAAGCUUAGCCUCUGGGGGUGCCCAACACUGGGCACGGAUAGGGCUGGGGCACAGACCCAAUAUUCCAGUACCUCCAAGUCUUUUGUCCGGCACCCAGGCUAGGGGCCCUGAAGAUGCUUCACUGUCCAGCGGGAUGGGGUUGGGGAAAUAUUUUUGUUCUCUUCAGCUCAGUAGCCUUCUUCCUUCCUUUCAUCACCUUGUCUAAGACUGGCCGGGUCUUUUCUCAAGGUCACCCCAGGAACCAGGGUUCCUUGGGUUCUGUCGCCAGCUCUGGGCACCUCUCCACCAUGGGCCACCUGGCUCUUUCAUUUUCUUACUUCCAACUUCCACCUUCUCUUCUGCAGCAUUGAGCUGCUUUUCUCAGCCUCUCUGGACUUAAAGCAACUUGGCCCAAAGGCUGCCAGUUGCCCUUUCUCAACCCUCCAAUGCUUCUGUGCCCUCUACCAGGGAUGGGGCUGUGGAAUCCAGAGCACACCCGGUUGCCUUCCCUAAAUUUCCAUUCACCAGCAAAGAUGAGUUUAUUUUCCACUGUCAGGAAUUCAGAGUUUGAAUGAUUUUACCACUGCUCUGUUCUUGGUGCAGCUGGGAUUCUAUUUAUCACUGGGUUAGGAAUUUCACUUCCUGCCUUUUCCAUCCCAGAAGAAUUCUCUCCCCUCCCCUCCCUUCCUCUUCUCUCUUUCCCCCUUCUCUCCUUUCCUCUUUUCCCUUCUCCUCUGCCUGCUUUUCCAUCCCUCUCCCCUUCUCCUCUCCUUCCCCACCCUCCUCUUCCCCCCUUUCCAUUUUGUUCCCCUUCUCCAUUCUCUCCCUUUUUUCUUCCCCCCUCUCCCCUGCCCUUUUCUGUCUCCUCUCCUUUCUCCCCUUCCCUUUUUCUCUCUUCCCCCUCCUCUCCCUCUCCCGCCCCUCCCCCACAUACUGUUUUGCUGUCCUCAGGGUGACGGUGACUUAGGCCAGCCCUGGGGAUGGGUGGGAGAGCAGCUGAGAAUCCAAAGGCAGGAGAGUGCACAAAAAAGAGAUAUGUCGACAAGUGGCUAGGGACCAUGUUCCUGCUUUAGCUACGCACUGUGUCAAGCGCUGAAAGUCACUACACAGGCAGUCAUUAUUAUGAUUUUUACCUUACAAAAAAUGCUUCACCCAGGGCAUGGCAUCUACUUGGUAUUCAGUAGCAGUCAAAUUGGAAAAAGGAGGCUUUCAAAGAGUCAUUAAGACAAACACUGUUUGAAAAUUAUACAGAAAUUCUAUUUAGCUAUUUGAAAAUGAAAGAGUAUUAUACUGUCUUUGUAAAAAUGCUUUUUUUCCAGUUGCUCACUGAUUUUUUUCCCCCCAGUUGCGGUGGCUGAUUAGUGUUUUCGUAGCGUCUCUUCCAGUUCACCGCAGACCUGCUGUUCCGUGGAGUCUGGUGUUGCAAAGCUUGUUGCAAAGCUUGUGCUGAGGAACUGCGAGGGGUCUCUGGGAAUCUCUCUCAGGUUGCCGGGACCAGAGAGCCAUGUGUCUGGCUAAUGUGACCAUCCCUCAACAAGGGUACUGCUCACUGGAUUUCUCUACACAGACUCCCCUCCUGAGGAACUGACUAGGCAUGAAAGAUCUCCCCCAAGAAUUGUUUAGUGACAGCUUAAGCUAGGCUAGCCUCUCUGCCUCACUAAGCUCAGCUGAGGUCAGAGUGGUGGGGUGUGACGCCCGCAACUCCGGGCAGUUAACUCACACAAAGGGAAAACUCUCUCCCCACCUUGCCUACCUGCCUCCCUGCCUGUGGGCAAUUUUGCCAAUGUUUUCCAUUAGUCACAAAGGAGAGGGGCAGGUGGGGGCAGGGUGGUCAGUGGGGACAAUCAUUACACAGGAAGAAAACCAAAACCAUAUUACUAUCUAAGGCACUGUGCUAAGUGCUGGCAUUAGGGUUGCAUUUGGUGAAAAUCCACAUAUAACACAGAAAAAUCUAUGAACCAUCUAGAAAUCCUAACUUCUUGACCCUUGAACUCCUUCUUUAAGAAGAUCACUUGUUCAUGGAGGGCUUCCCUGACCCCUGGGCAGGCUCCUUCCCCAUUCUCUUGGCUGCUUCUGCCAGCACUUGGUGUCCUUUGCCUGAGGCUCUCUUUGGCUGCGUGAGUGGGCAGCCCUCCCUAACACCCUCAACUCUGACUGUUAGGAUUCCGUAAGUAAAUGCUCCAGCCUCCUCAUCCUUCAGGAGGGAUGAUCUGAGGUGUGUUCCACACUGUCAACCAGGGGUAUCCUGCAGGACCCAGCCCCAUUUGCCCCAACAAAUGCGGACAAAUGGGUGGGAGCCUACUUAUCAAUACGGCCUCUGACUGCCCCCCUGGCUCUCUCUCCAUGUCCUCAUUGCCCUACUGAUGCUUCCUGGAAUCACCUCCCAAAGAAACUGCUUGCACACAAAACCUUGUAUGCAAGACAUUUGCAAUCUAAAUUAAGUCUCCCUGUUCUUUCUCAGGGCACUCCCCACCCCCAGCUUAAUAGCACUCAUCAUGAUAUGUAAUUAUGCAUUUGUUUGUGUAUCUAUUUGUUUAAUGAGGGCAGAGACAAUGUCUAUUUUGUUCACCACUAAAUCCCUGCACAUCACUCAACCCAGAGCUUAACAUGUGGUAGAUGCUCAACGUAAAUUCUGUUGAAGGAAUGAAUGUAACAUCAUUAGAGCUUUCUAAUCUUUCACCCUUUGGGGUGGUUCAAAAACAUGACCCCAAAGUUUCCUGACACUCCUUCCAAUGAGAAGCGGGGUCCUUCUCUCCUUGAAUCUGGAUACGCUGGUGACAGCUUCAACUAAGAGAAUGAAAGGGCUAGGUCAUAAAAGGCCACACAGCUUCUGCCCUGAAGCCCUGAAUAGCUGUCAUGUAAGAACUCUGACUACCCUCAGCCGGCCAUGCUGAGAGGAGGCCCAAUUAAUAUGAAGGGACAACACAUAGGUGCAGAGAUCCAUAGUCCCAACUGAGCCCAGUCUCCAAGUCAUUUCAGCCUAAGUACCAGAUGUGUGAAUGAAGAAGCUUCUGGAUGAUUCCAGCCCCCAGCUCUUUUCAAGUCUUCUCAACUGAGACCCCAGACAUUGUGGAGCAGAGAGAUCCACAAUGCUUUGGCCCGUCCAAAUUCCUGACUUAUGGAAACUUCGAGCAUAAUAAAACCGUUGUUAAGCUGCUAAAUUUUGGAGUAAUUUGUUAUGCAGAAAUAAUUGGAAGACCUUGAUUGUGAGUUUAUUAAUUCUGCAUUUAUUUGAAAGUCAUUUAUCAAGUUCCUACUAUGUGCCAGGUGAUGGUUACACAGUAGCAAACAAGGGAAAGAUCCCUACCUUCCGGGAACUUACAAUCUAGGGGCUGCUGUUGUAACUGUAUCUUGCAAAAGCCUACAUGUUGCUUUUUAACAAUAAUGAGUAGGUUUUUCUGAAACCACUUCCAGAUGGUGUGGGGGGAGGGGUGCUUCCGGAGUGAGUUGCUAAGGGAAGCUCCAGGGGUAGGUGGAUUAGAUAACACAGACCCAGGGAGCUCUAUUAUUUGCUGGCUGUCAACCACCACUGUCCUGCAAAUCAUCCACAGACUAGCUGCACCCCCACACUAAGGGGGAGAGAUUAGGGAAGCUGGGAGGUGCCAUCCUUGAGGCAGAAGGAGAGGGGAACUGCUCCCCGCAGGCCCUGGAAAAGAGAUGGUGCCUGCCUCUUGGAGGAAGAUGGCAUUGGCUUGUCCAAAGCUGGAGUAGGAGGACUUAAGAAAGCUGAGGCCACUGGCUGGCACUUCAGCUCCCUUAUCUGACUCCGGGAGGCAGGUCUGGAAUCAAAGUUGCCCCUGUGUGUCCAGACGUGCCUCACUCAUGAACAUGAUUUUAUGCCCCUUAUGUUUCUGCUCCUCCUUCAUUCUUUAACAAAGCAAGACAUUUUUAUCUGCCUGUCUCGACUCUGCUAAGGUGAAACAAAGAAAAGGACUCUGUCCUUUGAAGGACUAGUCAUGAAGGGUGUUUUCUCCUAGGGGUGACCUUUGGUAUCAAGGUACAAACUGCAAGAGGAAGGGGAAUUCCAGGAGGAAAGUUUGGGUGUUUAGCGUCUCAUGUCUGCCUGGAGCUUUUCCAUCCUGGAAACCUGCUUUUGUUUAACCCUGGAAGGUUCUGGGGCCUAUACAAGGAAGGGCGGCCAUGUUAGGGACACUGUUCAGUAAAACAGGACCCACCUCUCCCAGCGGCUGGUGAUAGAAGUGGAGUCAAUGCAGACAGGCUGUGAAUUGGGCUGUUUUUGUGUCAGUAUAAAGAAAUACCUGAGAUUGGGGAAUUUAUAAAGAAAAGAGGUUUCAUUGGCUCUUGAUUCUGCAGGUUGUACAGGAAGCAUGGUGCUGGCAUCUGCUUCCGAUGAGGGCCUCAGGGAGCUUACAAUCAUGGUGGAAGACGAAGGGGAGCCAAUGUUUCACAUGUUGAGAGUGAGAGCAAGAGAGAGGGAGGGGAGGCAGCCACACACUUUUAAACAACCAGAUUUUUUUUUUUUUUUAGAUGGAGUCCUGCUCUGUUGCCCAGGCUGGAGUGCAGCAGCGUGAUCUCGGCUCACUGCAACCUCCACCUCCCAGGUUCAAGCGAUUCUCCUGCCUCAGGCUCCUGAGUAGCUGCGAUUACAGGCGCGUGCCACCAUGCCCGGCUAAUUUUUGUAUUUUUAGUAGAGGCAGGGUUUCACCAUGUUGGUCAGGCUAGUCUCGAACUCCUGACAUCGUGAUCCACCCGCCUCGGCCUCCUAAAGUGCUGGGAUUACAGGCGUGAGCCACCCUGCCUGGCCUAAGCAACCACAUCUUGCAUGAACUAACUGAGCGAGAACUCACUUAUCACUGAAGGGAUGGCGCUACACCAUUCACGAGGGGCUAUUCCCAUGAUCCAAUCACCUCCCACCAGGCCCCACCUCCAACAGUGGGGAUCACAUUUCAACAUGAGAUUUGGAGAGGACAAACAUCCAAACGAUAUCAGGCUGAAAACACGGCUGGCACUUGAAACUUUAGAGAAGUCACCUUUUCCCUGGGCUCCUCGCUCUGGUCUCCCUGAGACUGUCACAGCGGCUUCAUAGGUGCUUCGAGUUUCUUUGCCACCCCCUGAUCAGGCCUUCUGUGUUUUGUAGUAGUCGCCUUCCCAGAUUUAUUGAGUAGCUCAGCUGAACCAAGGUCUGAGCAUUCAAUUAGGUCUUGUUAUUCAUCCGUUCACCAAAUAUUUAGUGAGCCAUGUGCCAGGCACAUUUCUAGCUGCUGAUACAGCUGUGAACAAGACAGAUGAAGCCCUUGCCCUUCGUGGAGCUCACAUUUUAAUAAAUAGUUUGGAGGCGGACAAAGAGAAAAUAAACAGAGAAACACGAACCUGGAGCAUUUGGCUCACAACUUAGAGUUGACUCAUCUUCAGUUUGACGUCCCUCCUGCUACGAGUUCCUGGCUAACUGACAUCUCUUCUCCUCAAGCAGAUGCUAACUUUGAGCCCUACCACUGAUGGCAUUUGAGGGGGAGAGGAUAAGCCAAGGGAAGAGGAAAAUCAAAAUGCUUUCAGCAGCACGGCUUCCGCAUGCUGGAGAGGUGGUGUAUGGGGUUGCGGCUUGGCCUGUUUUCUGAAACCUGCAAGGUAGCUUGUAACCCUCCACUCUCACACCAAGGUAAUACCUCCUUCCUGUCUGGCCACCUGUCACAGCCAGUGGAAGUAGGGUUUGGAGGGAUGGUUGGGACAUCCUUACACAAUGUUAGGUGGAGACUUAGUGAUGGCUUCGGGGGAAGGCAGAGGGAGUCUCUCUUGCGUCAGGGGGGUGGAAGCACCGCUGCCAUGAUCAAGCCCUUUGGAUGAAAGGAGGGCUGUGAGAUUUGCUGCCCAGAUGUGGGUUUGCAAAUGACCUUGUUGGUCUGUUACCCUGGCCUAGCUCAUAGAAGCUUUCUUCUCCUGUGGCUUGGGAGAGAGCCACCGUAAAAGACAAGCUGUGGCUAGUAAGCAUCUUCUAUGUGCUCUGGACUGUCUCAUGCAAGAGCUAGGGCAUAGGAUCCUCAUGAUGGCCCUUCAAGAGGGGUUAAUCUUGUCGUUGUUGCACUUCUAUGAGGAAACAGACCAUGUGAGGCUAAGUAACUUGCUCAAGGUCACACAGGGGUGAUUGAUGGGGUCACCCAGACUGUCUGACUCUUGUGUGGGUAUGGCUGCCCUCCUUGUCAGCCGGCGGGGUAUAGAGGCUGGCCCUCCAUUCUUGAUUUGCUCAGUAAUGGGGGCAGGACAACUCCACCUCCUUCUUCCCAAAGGAAAGUUGAGCUCAUUUUGGAAAGAAAGCAAACAGCCGUUCUCCUCUGGGGCUCUAUCCGGGGACAGGGCAGAAAGGAAAUCCAGUACACUGCGGAAGGAGUCAUUUUUUGGCCUGGUUCUCACCACCCAUCUCUAGUUCAAACCCUGCUUUUAGCAUAUCUGUGUUGAUGGGGCAGGGCCUGGGAAUCACGAUUUGCCUUUAAGAAGUGGAUGCACUUGGAGAGGCUGGCGCUUCCACCAACCAGGAAGAGCUGGGGGCACCCUGCUUGCUCUCCGAAACUUCACAGAAAGCCCCAAGAGCUGGGGAUGUGGGUUCUGUUCUGGAUCUCCAAGAGACGACGUCAUGCUAGAAUGUUCCCUUCAUUUUUGAAAACUGCACUCCUGCCUGGGGCCAUCUCGUGUCUUCAAUGGCUAAAGUAGAUGCUGAUUUGGGCAACCAGCUUUCUUUUCUGUUUUGAAAAUUAAUGCACCUGUGUAGUCACCCAGGCUUGAUAGUUGCAACAAUAACUCAUGGACAAGUUGUGUGACUGGUGGUAGUGACUCCAUUUGCUCACACCUCCUUGGAUUCAGUCCCUGGUGUAGUUCCCUCCCACACUGACUGUGGGUUUGGCCAGGUGACUUGCUUUGGCCAAUGGGACACCAUCAACCAUGAUUAGCAGAGGUUUGAAAAGUGCUUGUGCAUUGAGAUUUGCCCUCUCACGCUGUUCUUGGGACCCUUACAACUGCCAACAUGUGAAUGUGCCUGGGUUAGGCAGGUGGAGGUAUGUGGCCCAGUCACCACUGCCACCCAGCUGACAACCAGCACCAACCACCAGACACACUGCAUGAGGCCAUCCUAGACCAUUCGGUUCCCAGGUGACCUGCCAGCUGGUCACAGGUGAGUCCAGCAGAAGAACUGCCCAACCCAGCCCAGCCCAAAUUGCAGAUCUGCAGAAUCAUGGGCUGAUAAAUGAUUGCUCUUUUAAGCCACUAAGUUUUGGGGUGUUUUUUUAUUGUGAUAAAAUAUGCAUAACAUAGCAUUUACCAUUUUAACCAUUUUUAAACGUACAGUUGAGUGGCAUUCAGUACAUUCACAUUGUGCUACCAUCACCACCAGCCAUCUGCAGAAGUUUUUCAUCAUUUGCCGGGGUUCUUUAUAUAUCUAAGCUCACUCACUGAUUCACAAGCUGCGGGGGCUGCCUGCACCUCCCUGACUGUCUUGCAGCUGAUGAGCUUGUCUCUGAGUGGAGGCUCAGGCUCAGGCACCGAGCUCUGGAGUGAGGCCCAGUUCCAAACUGAAAGAGAACAAUGUCCACGGGUCUCGGCUGUAGCCACAGUUUAACACAACCCUGGCUUCCCUCAGGCAUGCUCACAAACGAUCCUGUUCCUGUGGGUGCAGGGAAGACAGACAAGCAGGGUCUCCACAAGGGAGGCUGCAGACCACAGGCAGACCCGGUGACAGGGGACAUGCUGGGACUUGCUGUUUAAAGAGCCACCACCAGGAACUUGGCACCUGACCUUGUGCUCAGGGGUGAGCUGUGACAGCUGCCACACCAGCCCUGCUGUCCUUGCCACUUCUAGCUGUGUGACUUGGGGUGAGUCACUUAAGCUUUCUGAGUCUGUUUUUUUCCCCCAUCUGCUAACUGAAUGUAAUCGUAGUGCCAUGUUUUAGGGCAAGGAUUAGAGGAGCCAGUGUUGGACACACUAACAGUUGCUUCAUUAAUUAAUAUAUGGGGCUGGCCAGGAUCCCUAUUCCCCCUGGCCCCAGACCCCUACCAUCUUUCCUCAUCCUUACUGGGAAGGGGCCUUUAGAAAGAAAAGAGACAAGGUCGGGCACGGUGGCUCAUGCCUGUAAUCCCAGCACUUUGGGAGAUCACCUGAGGUCAGCAGUUGGAGACCAACCUGGCCAACAUGGUGAAACCCUGUCUCUACUAAAAAUACAAAAAUUAGCUGGUCAUGGUGGCACUCGCCUGUAAUCCCAGCUACUGGGGAGGCUGAGGCAGGAGAAUUGCUUGAACCCAGGAGGUGGAGGUUGCAGUGAGCCAAGAUUGUGCCACUGCAUUCCAGCCUAGGGGACAGAGCAAGACUCUGUAAAAAAAAAAAAAAAAAAAAAAGAAAAGAAAAGAGAAAGACUUUGUUAGCAUCAGAAAUUAUGCUUUGAGAGGGAUCUUCAGUAUUAGCUGGAGAAACACUCAUUUGUCUUUUAGAUACUCACUUCUUGAUAUUCAUGUUAGGACCCUGGGCUAGGCUGACAGUGUAUAUAAAUAAAUACGGGGGCUCUGGGAGAGGAGGGAGAGAGCAAGGGCAUUUGGGGAUGCUGUGGCAGACUGUUGUGUUUAUUUUCUUCAUCUUCUUAUGUAAUAGAACCCCUGAUUUUUAGUUGGGCAUACACUCAUCUGGAAUAAAGACAAUGUUUCCCAGCUUCUCUUAUUGCUAGGUAUGGCUACAUGACUAAAUACUAGCCAAUUUUAUUUCAUGUCCUGAGGCAUCCUCCAGGAACUUCCUUAAGAGAGAGCUGUGUCACACACUUUGCCCUUUUCCUUCAUCCCUCCCAAUAUCCUACCAUCUGGAAUGCAGAUGUAAUGGCUGAAGCUCCAGACACCAUUUUGGAUAAUGAGGACAAGGUCACUCCUAGCUGUGGCAGAACAAUGAGCUGGAUGGAACCAGAAUUUCUGUCCCAGUUACUUUCGGUGUGUAACAAACUACUGCAGAGUUGGUGGCUUAAAACAACCAUUUUAGGGCUGGGCGUGAUAGCUCACGCCUGUAAUCCCAGCACUUUGGGAAGCUAAGGUGGGCAGAUCACUUAAGGCCAGUUUGAGACCAGCUUGGUUAACAUGGUGAAACCCCAUCUGUACCAAAAAUACAAAAAUUAGCCAGGCAUGGUGGCGCACACCUGUAGUCUCAGCUACUCGGGAGGCUGAGGCACAAGAAUCACUUCAACAUGGGAGGCGGAGGUUGCAGUGAGCCGAGAUCAUGCUACUGCAAUCCAGCCUGGGGGAACAGAGUGAGCCUCUGUCUCAAAAAUCCCAAACAACCAUUUUAUUGUGCUCAUAGAUUCUGUGGGAAAGGACUCUGGGCAGGGCUUGGCUGGGCAAUGCUUUUGUUCCUAGUGGUGUUGACUGGCGUCACUCAGUGGUACUCAGCUGACUGAAUGGCUGGUCUGGAAGAUCCAACACAGCUUCACUUACACAUCUGGAGCCUGGAAUAAGGAUGGCUCAAAGAUUAGGACUGUCAACCAGGGCACCUAUACAUGGCCUCUCCAUGUGGCUUGAUGUCAUCACAGCAUAGUAACCUCAGGGUAGUUGGAUCUCUUACAUGGUGGCUCUGAGCCCCAAGCAAGAAUAUUCCAGUGAACAAGGUGGAGAACAUAUGACCUUUUAUGAUCCACCCAAAAAUCUUGCAGUAUCACUCUACCAAAUUCUAUUGGCCGAAACAGUCACAAGCUGGCUUAGAUUCAACCUAGGAGGGGAAUCAGACGCCCCUUCUCCACUGGUGGGCUAUCAAGCUCAUGAUACAGAAGAGCGUGAGGGACAGGAGAUACUGUUGUAGCCAGUUCUGGAAAAUUCUACCUGCCAUAGUCCCUGAGGGUUCAUGGAGCACAGCCACAGCUGCCACACCAGCCCCAGACCACCUAGCUUGGGUAUUUGGGUGAGAAAUACACUUUUGACUCAUUUAAGCCACUUUCAUUUCUGGUCUUUGUUACUCAGAGUUAAACCCUGUGCUAACUCACAGAGAUCUGCUUUGUAUAGACUUUAAAGGACUUGAUGAGAAAGGUGAAGGACUAUUUCACCAGCCUCUGGACUUAGUGUGAGUUAGUGUUUGCCUAAAAUAACUCUCCUAUUCUAAUGAUAAUGGACAGUACUAAUAAGUCCCCACACCCACGGCCCUGCCGAGCCCUUCAAGACCUUGAGGCCAAAAUUAAGAUGACACCUGUGUAUACAUUAUCUGUAUCAAUGUAUGUGUGUCAGAAAACUAUAGGGACAUUUCAGGGGUGAUAGACAAGAGGGACCUCACUUUCCUUUUUUCUUUUUUUGAGACAGGGUCUUGCUCUGUCACCUAGGCUGGCACGAUCAUGGCUCUCUGCAACCUCGACUUCCUGGGCUGAAUUGAUCCUCCCACCUCAGCCUCCUAAGUAGCUGGGACUACAGGCAUGUACCACCUCACCUAGUUAAUUUUUGUAUUUUUUUGUAGAGAUGGGGUUUCGCCAUGUUGCCCAGGCUAGUCUUGAACUACUGGGCUCAAGCGAUCUGCCUGCUUCUGCCUCCCAAAGUGCUGGGAUUACAGGUGUGAGCCACUGCACCUGGCCAGAGGACCUUGCCUUCUAAUUUAAGCUCAGGACAUCAUGUUUGCAGCUCUUGGCUGAGAAAGCUUUGCUCUGAGACUCUUGUGAUGAACCUAGGGGUUUGCAGAUAAGGGCCCAGGGCUUGCCAAUGGUGGCUGUAAUUGAGGGAGCUCAUGGCACUGGCAGGAGAUUGAAAAAAUGUUCAGCUUAUUAUUUGCCUGAGGGCUCAAAUUCCAGUGUGAGAGAGAGUGGGGCCCCCCAGGUGGUCAAUCCUAGGUACCUGCCGAAGGUGUCAUGGGGGCCUCUGAGGCAGGUUAGUGUGGUGGCAGCUGUGGUAGUGAACAGGAAUGUUCCAGAGUCUUUGCCGGCUAGGGAUUAAGAUAAGACACGACUACCAGGUUGCCACAAGUAAGGAAUGUUCCCCUUGGCCUGGACUUGGCUCGGGAGCCCAGACCCUACUGGUAGAUGAGGUUCCCAGGGAUCAGGAGAAAUCAAAGGAGGCUCACCUUGAAGGUUCUGGAGCCGACCGCUGAGUUCAAAUCCUCACUUGGCUUUUCCUGGCUGUGUGACCUUGGUCAAGUGAUUUUACUGUGUUCUAGUUUUCUCAUCUGUCAAGUGGGCCCUGCCUCCUAGAGCUGUUGAGUGAAUUGAAUGAAACCAUUGAUGUUUGAAUACUUAGCCUGGUGCCUUUGCUGUAGCAGCCAGAGAGCCAGGCAGAGGUGGGGGCAAGUCCAUGGGGAGAAGCCUGAGUCGGCCCCUUGGACCUGCUGUCGAGCUGAGCCCUGUUCUCAUGACACAGCAGAAGCAUAAGAGGUUGGGCUAGGCCAACCUCACAAGCACGUUGCAAACCUCUGCUUGCCACCCAUCUACUAACACCUCAUUGAUCAAAGCAAGUUACAGGUCCAGGCCCAAAGUUAAGGGGUGGAGAAAUGUAUAAGAAACUGCAAGAUCAAUGCCAAGGAGUAUGGUGAAUAAUUCAAAUACAGGAGGGGACAGGAAUCAGGGAACAAUGGUCCACAUACCACUCUGUCCAACAGACUGUAAACCGUUCAUGAAAACCACCAAGAUCUACAAGAACCAAUCUCUAAGUCCCUAAGUUCCAAAGUGUGUGUAUGUGGUGGUUGGGCGAAGGGCAGGGUGAGUGGGGAAAAUGAGGGCCCACUGUCCCUCCCCAACCCCCACAAGCCUCUAUCCCAACUCAAGUACCUUAUAAUUUGCUGCCUUGGCCUCAAUAAAUAUUUGUUGACCAACUGAUAAAUACAGACUGACAUUCACAGGGACAAAGUGAAUCCCAUUGGGGCUUGGACUGAAUGUCUGUGAGUCUGUGGAUAAUCUCCUAAUGUAAAGGCCCCAUCUCCAGGUUCUAUUGCUAGAAUUGAGUUUCUGGCACUACUUUUUGCUUCAACAGCCUCUAACGGGCCCAUCUGGUGGCUAGCAUCUGAGGCGUACUGUAUUCCCUCCAUUCCUUUCCACCCAGGUAGGAUGUCUGGGUCUGGCACAAGGCUCCCUCCCACCAUAAGCUCCUGAGCUGCCUGCACUGUUUCUGGGCUUCCAUGUGUCGAGCAGCCAAUGGGUAGGUGUGUUUUCAGAGGCUGUUAUCUGUGUCAAGACACCAGGUGCCAUGGGUGACGUGGGUGACGGCAAGAUGUGUGUAAGUCACGGUCCGUGCCAAGAGCAGUGGAUGAUUUAGUUAGGGAUAAGACAACGUAUCCACCAGAUGCUGGAGCAGUGAAACCAGGGCGGUACAUGGUUGGGAGGGAGGGAAGGAUGGCUCUGUAUUUGGGAAACAGCCGCCUCCCAGCCGUCAUUUCGGACCUUCGAAGUCUGGUCAAAUACUGAUGAAAAGCUGCCAAGGAUGAAUCAGGGGACUUACCCCUCUGCUUUCCCAGGAGGAGAGCCAGGAAGCAGACCAGCAGGAGUGAGAACAAGGCCGGUCUGAGGAUCAAAGGGAAGGCUUCAAACCUUAAAUCCAGUAUGUGAAGUUUUGCUGGCCAGGGGUCCCAUUUGCUUUUAUUCUUGUUUUGAUUUUGUUUUUAUUUAUUUAUUUACUUUUUUUUGAGACAGGAUUUUGCUCUCUCCCCCAGGAGGUGGAGCGUUGUGGCAUGAUCAUGGCUCACUGCAGCCUCGACCUCCCAGACUCAAGCGAUUCUCCUGCCUCAGCCUCCUGAGUAGCUGAAACUACCGGAGCGCACCAUCACGCCCAGCUAAUUUUUGUAUUUUUAGUAGAGACGGGGUUUCACCAUGUUACCCAGGCUGGUCUCAAACUCCUGACCUCAGGUGAUCCACCCUCCUUGGCCUCCCAAAGUGCUAGGAUUACAGGUGUGAACCAUUGUGCCCUGCCUGUAGUAGGUAUUAUAAGUAAUCUAGAGAUGAUUUAAAGUGUACA